AGGGGGCAGGAAAAAAUUAAUAAAAAUAAAGUGAGUAAAUGAAAAAAAAACACAAAAAAAAUCGCAGAAAUUGUUUGGCGAGAGCGUAAAUUACGCAUCGAAAUGAGCUGGUCCAGUGGCAGAACUGCGGACUGUAAUACUUAUGUGUAUGUCUCAAGCAAAUUGGCGCAAUGAAGUGUUCCGAAGGAUCUAAAUUAGCAAAGUAGUAAGCGAGACUCGUGAAGUGUCCAAGAAUUAUGAGCACAAAAAGGGACUGAAUGCUGUGUGUCUGCUUCACAGACCAUCGACAGGCUGAGCCCCAUGUUCUGGCUGCCAAUCAUUGUGACCCAAUAAGCACGAAAUAAAAGCGCAACGAAGCAGGAAGCAGUGGAAAUUGAGGAGCAUAAACUGAAUUAAAAUAUGUAUAUAUGUAUUUAGUUAUAU